AUACUCUGGUUUCUCUUCAGAUUGUAUAAAUCUUUCGCCUUCUACUAAAGAUUUCGUGGAGAGGAACAAUUCUGAGGCUUAACCCAAUUUUUUGAGGCCUUCUUUUUACAGGACU
ensembl:snRNA U5 U5 spliceosomal RNA